UGACCACGACGGAGGGGGGACGGGAUUUUCUGCUCCCAGACCGAAGUGGUGCUCCAGCCUCGGUGUCGCUAUCAUCCAUUUCGCGAAUUGUAGCAAUUGUUGGACUGCUGUAAGGACCUUGCAGGUAUCAAAUGUGUGAACGAAAAGAUCCACCUACCUACAUAUAUUUACCCUUAUGAGACACACAUAUCAGCCAAUAUCAGGAGAUUCGGUUAACGUUACAUACAUUAUCACAGCAUUUUAUCACUAAUUUCCUUAUCUCAUUUUGUGUAAGGUACAUAAGCACGUAUGUAGAAUUCAAUCAUGCACAUCCGGAUUAACCAGAAUCAUAUAUGCAUGUGCACAAUGAAUAGUAAUGAGCGACAUGUACUUAAGCGACAUAAUAUCUUAGGAUUAGUUAGAAGAUAUGGUUUCGGAAUGUCAUUCAAUACAUUUCUAUCAUCAGAUUAAUAACUAUUUCCAAUUGAUUUCAAUAUUUCCAUAAUUUGAGUUUGAGUGUAAAUAUAUAUUUAUGCUGUGAGAAAUAUUAUUCACUCCAAUUGCACAAUUACGAUUUAUAUACAUAGUUCGACAACUUUUAUUUUGAUUAUUUCUUGACCUUUACCUAAUAAAUACGUACAUAUUAUUAUUAAAAACGUAAUAUUAUUGCUAACAGCACAGUUUCAAAUGUCCUAAAAAUAGUGAAACCUCACUUGACAGGCAAA